CUACAAAAGCCUUGAAAAUUAGUGCAGAACUGAAGAUUUAACUAAGAAUAAUACCUAUCUAGUUGUAUUAAACCAUGAAAUAGAACUCUACCCUGUAUUCUAAAGCAGAGUUUAACCUUAUUGUGUCAUCGGAUUAUUGCGACCUCUCAAUUAAUGGACACGAUAUUGUCUGCCUUGAAGGGGAAUGUCCAGAGGAUGCAUUGAUGCAUUCCGAGAUGAAAAUUGUGAUUGAAGAUUGCCCUUUGCAGCAGACAUCCUUCUCAUAUGGUCUAAUCAGGUGACUCAAAAAAAGUUUAUACAUUGGUCCUUCGGAACAUAUGAGUGAUGUUAGCAACUCGAAUCAGUAGCCUGCAGAAGGAAAGCCUCUGAAGACCAGAUGUGUAGAUAAAGCCAAAGAAACACUAAUUGGUUACCUUCCUUCUGCAUCAGAGAGAAGCUUUGAGGAAUACUAUAUGAAUAGGAAUACUAUAUGAAUACAUAUGCUCCCGAUGGCAGAAUAUAUAACACUAAAUUAAAGACAUACUGAUGGGCAGAGAAGGACUGAGGACCAAAGUCUAUUACUACUGGGAGGAGGUCACAUAUAUUAAAUGUAUCAGCAAAAGAAAAAUGUGUCUGGCGCCCGGAACAUGAGACGCAGCUAGCUCAAAACUUCAAGAAGAAAGCUCAGCGCUUACUAUGUUUGAAUGUUAAUGUUGUGGUGGAUUUGUGGAUUGUGUAAGUGUUUUGUGGAUGUUUGCGAGCGGUGAAGUAGUCUAAUGUUGUAGACUAACUUAGUCUAAUGUUCUAGACUAAUUUAGUGUAGAUCUACUAGUUUAAUGUUUUGUGGAUGUUUGCAAAGGUUGUGAAGUAGUUUAAUGUUGUGUAGAUGUUUGCGAAUGUUGAAGUAGCUUAAUGUCUCUUCGGAAUGUUUGAAUGACGUUUUGAUUCAACUUUGAAGUAGUUUCGAAUUGAAUUUGACGUAUUGUUGGUUGUAAUAUAUGUAGUUGUUGAAGUA